rnacentral:rRNA from 1 species
UAUUGCACAAUGGGGGAAACCCUGAUGCAGCGACGCCGCGUGAGUGAAGAAGUAUUUCGGUANGUAAAGCUCUAUCAGCAGGGAANNCCNNNGNCGGUACCUGACUAAGAAGCCCCGGCUAACUACGUGCNNNCNACCGCGGUAAUACGUAGGGGGCAAGCGUUAUCCGGAUUUACUGGGUGUAAAGGGAGCGUAGACGGCAAUACAAGUCGGAAGUGAAAUACCCGGGCUCAACCUGGGAACUGCUUUGGAAACUGUAUGGCUGGAGUGCUGGAGAGGUAAGCGGAAUUCCUAGUGUAGCGGUGAAAUGCGUAGAUAUUAGGAGGAACACCAGUGGCGAAGGCGGCUUACUGGACAGUAACUGACGUUGAGGCUCGAAAGCGUGGGGAGCAAACAGG